GGGAGUUUGGCCUCCCGGAGCCGGCCUUCAGGGGCAGGCUUAAACCACCUCAUGCUGCCGCGUUCAAAAGGCGCGGUGGUGAGCGAUGAGGAAAAAGGCGGUGAAUGAAACCGUCAGGU
rnacentral:ncRNA from 1 species